CCUACGGGUGGCAGCAGUAGGGGAUAUUGCUCAAUGGGGGAAACCCUGAAGCAGCGACGCCGCGUGGAGGAUGAAGGUCCUCGGAGUGUAAACUCCUUUUAUUAGGGAAGAAAAUGACGGUAUCUGAAGAAUAAGCACCGGCUAACUCCGUGCCAGCAGCCGCGGUAAUACGGAGGGUGCAAGCGUUACUCGGAUUCACUGGGCGUAAAGAGGGCGUAGGCGGGAUAGCAAGUCAGAUGUGAAAUCCUAGGGCUCAACCAUAGAACUGCAUUUGAAACUGUUAGUCUAGAGUAUAGGAGGGGUAGGCGGAAUUCGUGGUGUAGGGGUGAAAUGCGUAGAGAUCAAGAGGAAUACCGAUUGCGAAGGCGACCUGCUAGAAUGCAACUGACGCUGAGGCGCGAAAGCGUGGGGAGCAAACAGGAUUAGAUACCCCUGUAGUC
rnacentral:rRNA from 1 species